rnacentral:rRNA from 1 species
GACGAACGCUGGCGGCGUGCUUAACACAUGCAAGUCGAACGCUGAAGCCCUUCGGGGUGGAUGAGUGGCGAACGGGUGAGUAACACGUGGGUAAUCUGCCCUGCACUCUGGGAUAAGCCUUGGAAACGGGGUCUAAUACCGGAUAGGACACAUCGCCGCAUGGUGUGUGUGGAAAGUUCCGGCGGUGCAGGUUGAGCCCGCGGCCUAUCAGCUUGUUGGUGGGGUGAUGGCCUACCAAGGCGACGACGGGUAGCCGGCCUGAGAGGGUGACCGGCCACACUGGGCCUGAGACACGGCCCAGACUCCUACGGGAGGCAGCAGUGGGGAAUCUUGCGCAAUGGGCGAAAGCCUGACGCAGCAACGCCGCGUGGGGGAUGACGGCCUUCGGGUUGUAAACCUCUUUCGACCGGGACGAAGGAUUCGUUUGACGGUACCGGUAGAAGAAGCACCGGCUAACUACGUGCCAGCCGCCGCAGUAAGAC